rnacentral:lncRNA from 1 species
AUUCCCUACUUUUAGAAUGGGAAUGUUUACUCUGUGACAUUGCAUAUUGGAUAUAUGUAACUUGCUUUUGACCUUUAUAGGGGUUCACAGCCAAGUGUUUGCCUUCAGUCUCAGAUGAGACUCUGGACUUGGACAUUCAGGCAGUGCUGGAACUAUUGACUAUGGACUCUAAGAGAUGGACUAAAUGCAUUUUGCAUUGUGAGAUGGAUAUGAGCUUUUGGGGGUCAGGGUGGAAUGUUAUGGUUGGAUAUGAGCUGUCCCCUCUAAAGCUCUGGUAUUAAUGAAGGGAUGUUCAGAAGUCAAAUGAUUGGAUUAUUAGAGCUAUAACAUAAUCAGUCUAUUAUAGCUUGAAUGGAAUGACUGGAUGGUAACUGUGGGAAGAUGGGGUAUGGCUAGAGGAGUUGAAUCCCUGGGGAUAUGCCCUGCAAAUAUUCAUUUGCUCUGUGAUCCCUUCCCCUUUCUCUCUCUGUUUCCUGGCUGCCCUUUCCUGAAAAGCUUCCAUCUGUCAUGCCCUUCCACCAUGAUGUGCUGCCUCACCUUGGGCCCAGAGUAAUGGAGUCAGCCCACCAUGAACUAAACCUCUGGAAUUGUAAGCCAAAAUAAACUUUCCCUCCUCUAAGUAGUUCUUGUUAGGUUAUUUUGGUCACAGCAAUGCAAAGCUACCUACUACCCAUCCUCUAAGUAAUUCAGGAAGAUUUCUCCAAACAUACAAGAGAUUCUAAGUUGUAUAUUUGACAAUUGUGGG